rnacentral:rRNA from 1 species
CCCUUAGAUGUCCUGGGCCGCACGCGCGCUACACUGAGUGUCUGAGAUACGAGUCUGCCUGGUCCGGCAAGGUCUAGGUAAUCGCUAAAGGACACAUCAUGCUUGGGAUAGAUUAUUGCAAAUAUUAAUCUUGAACGAGGAAUUCCUAGUAAGCGCAAGUCAACAGCUUGCGUUGAUUACGUCCCUGCCCUUUGUACACACCGCCCGUCGCUACUACUGAUUGGAUGUUUAAGCGAGGUUCUCGAACUGCUAGCGACUUAGCUUCGGUGAGGUCGCAGUGUGGGAAGUGAACCGAGCUUUGGUGUCUAGAGGAAGUAAAAGUCGUAACA